ensembl:lncRNA
UGACCUUCAUAGUUCACCUGAAGCUCCAGGAGCUGAAAUCACUUGCCCAAGGUCUUACAGGUUAAGUUUAAAACUUAGCUUUAAAAAAAAAAAAAUGUAGCUUUAAAAAGUACAGAGGGUCCUCAGGGAAGGGCUGUCAAGCAGCCAGUGGGUGCAGCCAGUAUGGUCAUUCAAUCUAGUGGUUAAUUAGUAACUGGAAGGCCCCAGGCAGCUCUCAGCUGACAGGGCUGAGAGGUUGAACUCCAGCUGGUUUGAGAGUCAGGCGAGUGGGUGACAGGUCGCUGCUGCUAAGGAAGGUUGCUUGGUGAGUUAGAACUGGGUUCCAGGUCAGAAGGACCAUGCAGAGAGAGAAAGCAAAGCUCCCAGGGACCUGCACUGGGACCCAGAGUCACCAGGCAGUGAAACCACUGAGCUAAAUCCCCAGCCCUCCAAUCAAGAUAUUUACAUAUCCAUCACCCCAAACAUGUAUCAGUUGUUUGUGGUAAGAAUAUUCAAAAUCCUUUCUACUAGUUAUUUUGAAAUAUAUAAUGCAAUGUUAUUAAGGAUAGUUUACUGUGCAAUAGAAGACCAGAAUUUAUUUCUCCUAUCUGUAAAUUUUUGCUUGUUAAUCUUUCUCUUUCUCUGCCCCUUGCCCUCCUCAGCCUCUGGAGUCACUAUUCUACUCUCUACUUGUAUGAGGUCCACUUUUUUUGCUUCCACAAAUGAGUGAGAUCAUGCAGUAUUUAUAUAUUGUACCUGGUCUAUUUCACAUAAUAUGAUGUCCUCCAAGUUCAUCCAUGUUGCAGCAAAUGCUAGGAUUCCAUCCUUUAAUGCUGAGUUAUAUUCCAUUGUAUAUAUAUGUGUGUGUGUGUGUGUGUGUGUGUGUGUGUGUAUAUAUACAUACAUACCACAGUUGCUUUAUCCAUUCAGCCACUGAUGGAUACCGAGAUCAAUCCCCUAUCUUGGUUAUUAUGAAUAGUGCUGCAGUAAACAUGGGAGUGCAGAUUUCUCUGACAUGCUGGUUUUCUUUUCCAGAUAGAUUUGAAUGUGAUUUCAUGAUGGAAUGGAGGUGGAAUAAAACUGUAAAGUUUCAAGAAUGAAUUCCAAGUUGUUAGCUUGAAGUUUUGAGUAGGUCAUAAUGAGAUGACUGAGGGAGGAGCAGAUGACUGAAGCAGAGGGGAAGGGAUGAGAGUCAGAGCUUUGUUUUAGGGCUGGGGAUUUAGCUUAGUGGUUCUGCCACCUGGUUCGCAAGCACAAGGUCCCGAGUUCGAUCCCUGGUACCAAAAAAAAAAACAAAGAGCUUUGUUUUAGACAUGUGAAGGCUGAGAUGCUUCCAGAUAUGUGGCAAAUUGUAAGGAAGCAGAUAUGUAAGGCCAGCGUUCUGGAGAGAAUCAGAACUAAAGAGAUAAAUCUGGGAACUGUCUAAUAUAGUUGGUUAAGCUAUAAAACUGGUUUUGAUCCACUAAGGAAUAAGUAUAGAGAUUCAGGGACUGAGCCAAGUUUAAAAGAUGAAAAGAGGAGAAAAUCCAAGAUAGAUGGAGAAGUCAAUGAUCCAUAAGGAACACCAGGAGCUCGCAAAGCCAAGAGGGUAAAAUGAGUGUGCCAAAGCCUUCGAAGAGAUGGGCAUGGUGGUGCAGGCCUGUAAUCCCAGCACUCUGGGUGGGUGAGGCAGGAGGAUUACAAGUUCAAGCCCAGCCUGGACAACUUUGUGACUUAUGAGACCCUAUCUCAAAACUUAAAAAUAAGCCUAGGCAUGGUGGUUACUUGCCUGUAAUUCCAGCACUCAGGAGGCUAAGGCAAGAGAAGUCACCAUAGUUUGAGGCCAGCCUGGGCUACAUAGUGAGGCAAAGUCCACUCUGGAAUAUAUACUGAGACCCAGUUUCAAAAAAAAAAAAAAACCAACACAAAAAUUUUAAAAUAAAAUAAAGAAGGGCUUGUAAUGUAGCUCAGGUUCUGGGUUCAGCCCCCAGUUACACACACACACACACACACACACACACACACACACACACACGCACACACAGAAGAAAAGAAAGAAAGAUGGGGAGAUGAGGAUGGAGUGUUUCCCCCUGUCUUUGGCACAUGUAAGCCACCAUCCACAGGUGCAUUGGAGUGUUGGGAUAGAGCCCUGCUUAGAAUGGGUUCAAGAGAGAAAAAGGAAAGGACUGGAGAUGAUAAGCCCAGAAGACUCUUGAGGAGUUUAACUAAAAAGAGCAAAGAAAUGAAGCAGCAUCUCAAUAGGGCAAGAAGGGUUUAAGGUGAAUAGCAUGAGCUCUCACGGCUGGAGGGUGUUCUGAAGUGCCCUAUAGGGGGACAUUGAGGUUAUUAUUACCAUGAUUAUUUUACUCUUACAAGUAGUGCUUGUUGUUGAACAGAAAUGUCCUUGUUCUGGGUAUGUGUUUUGUCAACAUGACAUCCAGAACAUCUGUGUACUGAUUCAACAUUUCUGUUUUGUGGAAAGGUGAAAGGCUUUACACUGUUUACUCCAUUUUUCUUGGACCAACACUUCCAGGUUCCCUGCAUUUCAGAGCCUGCAGAGAACUAUAGCCUGUAUGCCCAUGCAGAAAGUUCCAGAAGGUCAGGACUAUUGGGCCC